rnacentral:ncRNA from 1 species
AAAGACUUAGUCCUAACCUUGCCAUUGAUUGUUGCUAAACAUAUACAUGCAAGUAUCCGCGCUCCAGUGUAAAUGCCCUUUACUCCUACAUCACAUUCUAGGCAGAGGAGCAGGUAUCAGGCACACCUAUACGGUAGCCCAAGACACCUUGCUUAGCCACACCCCCACGGGUACUCAGCAGUAAUUAACAUUAAGCAAUAAGUGAAAACUUGACUUAGUUAUAGCAAUCCUAAGGGUUGGUAAAUCUUGUGCCAGCCACCGCGGUCACACAAGAAACCCAAAUCAACUGUAAUACGGCGUAAAGAGUGGUAUCACAUUAUCACCCUAACUAAGAUCAAAAUGCAACUAAGCUGUCAUAAGCCUAAGCUGCACUUAAGGCCAUCCUAAAGACAAUCUUAGCACUCACGAUUAAUAACCUCCACGAAAGCUAAGACACAAACUGGGAUUAGAUACCCCACUAUGCUCAGCCCUAAAUCUUGAUACUUAACCUACUAAAGUAUCCGCCCGAGAACUACGAGCACAAACGCUUAAAACUCUAAGGACUUGGCGGUGCCCUAAACCCACCUAGAGGAGCCUGUUCUAUAAUCGAUAACCCACGAUACACCUAACCACUCCUUGCUAAAAUCAGCCUACAUACCGCCGUCGCCAGCUUACCUCCCCUGAGAGUAUAACAGUAAACAUAAUAGCCCUAACCACGCUAACAAGACAGGUCAAGGUAUAGCCCAUGGAGUGGAAGAAAUGGGCUACAUUUUCUAAACUAGAAAACCUUACGGAAAAGGGUGUGAAAUCACCCUUAGAAGGUGGAUUUAGUAGUAAAGCAAAAUAACAAAGUCUGCUUUAAACUGGCUCUAGGGCACGUACAUACCGCCCGUCACCCUCUUCACAAGCUAUAAAACUUAAUAACUAAUACAACAUCCAGCCAAAGAUGAGGUAAGUCGUAACAAGGUAAGUGUACCGGAAGGUGCACUUAGCAUAU